CUGGGGAACUGAGGGGCCCCUGAACCUGCCACCCUAACAGAUAUUGCUAAAUAAAACAAUAAAAUGAAAGAAUGCACUCUGGGUCCCACCUUGGGAGACAUGACUGAUUUAACUUGGAGGAGAGGGAAAGGGGAUAAGAAAUGUUUUUCUUUUUGUUUUUGUGGUUUUUUGCUUUUUUGCAGUUGGCAGAGGUGAAGGGAUGCAACAACCCAUUUCUUGCAAGUGAUCUGAUGGAUGUAUCACGUGUCAACAAAGAACAAAGAAAUACUUCCCCUCCUGUUCUUGAAUGCAAUGCCCCUUUUCAAGCAUUUCGGCUCUGCUAGUAUUUCAAAUUUAAAUCCAAGGUCAUUUCUCUGGGCAGGAGGUCACUCUUAUGUUUCUAGAACAGAAAAGAAAAAAGUACAAAAGCCCCGAAAAGCCCUGCACACAAAGACUCUGUAUUCUUCCCUUGGUAUUGAAAACACCUUGUUAACCCCAUGCUCCUCCCUCUGACCUAUAGGGAUUGCAUUUUCAUGGAAAUCUUGGUGAGUGGGAAAGAGUUGCUAGUUUAAGGCAGAAGACUUUCUAACAUAAGUCUGUUCUUUUUGGAAAAAUAAUGCAAGGUUGCUGUGGAAAAUCAGGACACCUGUAAAGAAGGGAGAUCAAAUAACCCAGAGAACUAUAACAUUGUAUUUUCUUUUGGUGUCUUUUUAAAAGCUUUGGGGUGAGCAUGUGUAUGGAUGUGCUUACCAACUUUUAACCAGUGGAAUGAUGCAAGAUUGUUUGGUGGCCUUUAUUUUUUCAACUGAAAACAAAUAAACAAACAAAACUAUUCACUCUUCUUCUGGAUGUGGGUUUCCCUAGAACUUUUCAGCAGUCCUCCUGUCCCCAUGUUUAGGAUGGCAUGACUGAGAGGGAGAAAGGAAAUGGCCCCACCUUGGGCACUAACUGCUAUGUUGGGUGGCAAUAUGGAGAGAUGACUGGACAGCAGUUGAAGGAGUCUUAGAACACUGAUCUUUUAGCCCAGAGUUGAGAUGUUAUCUCCUCUAGCUUCCCUCUUCCUCACCUUACAAACGCAUUUCCAGUUCAUCUUCAUCUGAACAGUUUAUUACCUCCUCUAUCUCUUCUAUCAAACCUUUGGACUCCAGGGUUCUUACAGGAAAUAUGCCUCUUGUAGCCAUUAGGCCAAAAUUUGGCUCAGAAAUCACCUCAUGAUGCCCCUCCUCUUAGUGUUAAGGAGGAAAAGGAUGGUUUAAGAGCAAGAACCCAUAUUUGGCAGGAGUUUGGGGUAGAAAAUCAAUGCUACUCAUUGACAAAGAGCAGGAAGGAGACUCAAGACAAUGUUCAGGACUUCUCUUGGGAUCAUUUGUCUCCUACUGGGAUUAAGUAGGCUUUCUGAAGGUUAAAAAGUACCACACUUCUCCAGAAUGACGCUGACCCAGGAAUUUAAAUUUAAAUUCCUAAGGAACUGCUCAGUGUGGGUGGUGCCCUCUUUCCUGCUAAUUGCCUUAUUUAUGAUUGAUAUUUGUUAUGAGAAACUCUUGACACACCCUCUCCAAAUGUUUGAGCUUUAUCAUUCUGGAAAAAUGUGUCUAAAAUGUGUGAUGUGUAUUAAUUAUGUAUCUACCACUUCCUUAUGUAUUAUCUUGGCAAGGUUUGGGGUAGAAAAGCCAGUUCUAUUGGGUUAGCUUGAUGUAGAAGGCCAAGCCAUCCAAUGCAGAUUAUCCUGGACAUGAAGUUAGAAACAUGGUUGUCUUUAGGGAGUACCAAUCUGGAAAAGGGCCCAGAUGGCUCCCCUCAUGGUACCAGCCAAUAAUGGAGGUGGAGAGAGAGGAGGACUUAUUGAAUGAGAGUGUGGUUUAUUGAGUUGGUAGUAAAUAAGAUCCAAAGCCUUCAUAUACCAGACUCAUUUCUAGAAGAAAACUUGCCCUUCAUCCUAUUGGAGGUUAUGAGGUGACUUGAUACCAAAACCAUGAGAAUUUCAAGUUGAAUAAAAUAUAGUUUAUUCAUUCAAAAAACAUUUGCCAAGUGCCUUCUGUGUACUAGCAUGUAGCUAUAGAGAUGAACAGUGAAUUACUUCUUUCCUCAAAGAACUUCCAAUCUAGUGCUAAAGUAAUAAAAACUCCAUGAAGCAGGUUGAAAUUAGCACAAUGUUAGAAAUACACAUAAAGUGCUCUUAUAUGGGAAAUAAAAUUAUACAGCUCUGAUGUCUAGCACAUAAAAGACUCCAUAAUAAUUGAAUGAAUGAAUGCAUCAGGGAAGUAUUUUUAAGGGAAAUAUUACAUUUGAACUGAUCACUGAGGACGGGUAGAAUUUUGUUGGGAGCUCACUAUAUAGUUUGUGCAAAGACCCAGAUGUGAAAGUGUUUGAAUGGUUCAAAAAGUGCUAAUAAAUCAUUGGGCUUGGUCUGGGAACACAGCGAAAGGUAGUUGGAGAAGCACAUACCAGGAAGGAUCUUGAAUACUAUGUAAAGAGUUUCAAUGUUAUUCUCCAGAUAAUGGGCAACUAAGAGUCUCUGAAGAGGAAUGCUACACGAUUUGACUGUUUUUAGGAAUAUCAUUCUGAGGGUAUCUCAGGAAAAACUUCAAAGUUGAGACUGGCAAUAUUCAACUCUGAUGGUUUGUAUUCACAUCUGUUAUUGAUUAUUGAGUCUCAAGUGAAACUUGAAAGCAGUCAGGUUUGGUUGUCAUCUUCAUUUCACCUAGAAUAGACUAUACCUGGAGAGGUUUGCCCAGGGUGGCAUGCUGCAUGACACAGAACCAAUACAAGAAGCCCGGUUUCUUCAUUCAUCCAGCCUAAUGCUGUCAGAGCUUUCCUUAAAAAAAAAAAAAAAAAAAAAAAAAAA
rnacentral:lncRNA from 1 species